GACGAAUGCUGGCGGCGUGCCUAAUACAUGCAAGUUGAGCGAUGAAGAUUGGUGCUUGCACCAAUUUGAAGAGCAGCGAACGGGUGAGUAACGCGUGGGGAAUCUGCCUUUGAGCGGGGGACAACAUUUGGAAACGAAUGCUAAUACCGCAUAACAACUUUAAACAUAAGUUUUAAGUUUGAAAGAUGCAAUUGCAUCACUCAAAGAUGAUCCCGCGUUGUAUUAGCUAGUUGGUGAGGUAAAGGAUCACCAAGGCGAUGAUACAUAGCCGACCUGAGAGGGUGAUCGGCCACAUUGGGACUGAGACACGGUCCAAACUCCUACGGGAGGCAGCAGUAGGGAAUCUUCGGCAAUGGACGAAAGUCUGACCGAGCAACGCCGCGUGAGUGAAGAAGGUUUUCGGAUCGUAAAACUCUGUUGGUAGAGAAGAACGUUGGUGAGAGUGGAAAGCUCAUCAAGUGACGGUAACUACCCAGAAAGGGACGGCUAACUACGUGCCAGCAGCCGCCGUAA
rnacentral:rRNA from 1 species